rnacentral:rRNA from 1 species
GCAGCAGGCGCGCAAUUACCCAAUCCUGAUUCAGGGAGGUAGCGACAAGAAAUAACGAUAGCGGGCUCGUUCGAGUCCGCGCAUCGGAAUGAGGACAAUUUACACCCCUUCUCGAGGAUCCAUUGGAGGGCAAGCCUGGUGCCAGCAGCCGCGGUAAUUCCAGCUCCAAUAGCGUAUACUAAAGUUGUUGCAGUUAAAAAGCUCGUAGUCGAAUGAAGGUUCUUUUGUUACGUGAACUCGUAGGUGUAACUUAUGUAGUUUGUGUACAAAGACCUCCCUCGUAUGAAACGAUUUUUCUGAUUUUCAGGAAGAUACGGUCAUACGCAUUACUGUGAACAAAAUAGAGUGUUCAUGGCAGGCCAAUUAGGCUUGAAUACCUCAGCAUGGAAUAAUAGAAUAGGACUUCCGGUUCUAUUUUGUUGGUUUUUGGAGCCGAAGUAAUGAUUAAUAGGGAUAGUUGGGGGCACUCGUACUCCGUUGUCAGAGGUGAAAUUCUUGGAUUGACGGAAGACGAACAACUGCGAAAGCAUCUGCCAAGGAUGUUUUCAUUGAUCAAGAACGAAAGUUAGGGGGUCGAAGACGAUUAGAUACCGUCGUAGUCCUAACCAUAAACUAUGCCGACUGGGGAUUGGUAGAUGUACCAAAAACGACUCUAUCAGCACCCUAUGAGAAAUCAAAGUCUUUGGGUUCUGGGGGGAGUAUGGUCGCAAGGCUGAAACUUAAAGGAAUUGACGGAAGGGCACCACCAGGCGUGGAGCCUGCGGCUUAAUUCCGUUAACGAACGAGACCUUAACCUACUAAUUGGCCGCCUGAGUGGCAACGCUCAGGAUAAAGGUCUCUUAGAGGGACGAUCUGCGAUUAGCAGAUGGAAGGAUAAGCAUA